ACGUAGGGAGCGAGCGUUGUCCGGAAUGACUGGGCGUAAAGGGCGCGUAGGUGGCCUAAUAAGUUAGGAGUGAAAGUCCCGCUUUCAAGGUGGGAAUUGCUUUUGAUACUGGUUGGCUUGAGUGUGGGAGAGGAUAGCGGAAUUCCCGGUGUAGCGGUGAAAUGCGUAGAGAUCGGGAGGAACACCAGUGGCGAAGGCGGCUAUCCGGACCAAGACUGACACUGAGGCACGAAAGCGUGGGGAGCAAACAG
rnacentral:rRNA from 1 species